AAUAUUCUUCCUUCUAUACAAGAACACGAGACUUAUAGAAGUCAAAUGAAUAUGGAUUGUAUUGUUUAAAGGAAGUCUUUGUCACUAAUCAUUUAAACUAUUAGUAAUCUUUUCUCAUCAACAUCAACUAUAAAGAAUCAUAUCAAUCAAAGAUUGCAGCCAUUAAAAAUAGGAAGGUAAUUCUAAUCGUGUAUCACAGUAGUUUUUAUAUUCUUUUUUGGAUAGUGGAUUAUAACAAGGAAAAGGUCUCAACUCUCAAGACGUUGUCCCAAAUUGCAUUUAAUAAUAGCAAUAUUUGCUGGGAGGAGCUGGAAUAAAAGAGAAAGCAUGGACAGUUAUUACCAGUCAUCAUGGUUGCCAUUAAGCCACAUUAAAUAUUAAUGGUCUUGAAUAGAUUUAAUCAUUGUUUGAGCAAAUAAUUCAGGCUAUGCUUAAAAA